AAUAUAAAUGUAUUAGCAAACAAUCAUGUAUAUUUAUGCAAAGGCUGCAAAGAAUAAAAAUGUACAUGGCUUAUGACAGGAGUCUAUGCUAAAGACAAACGCGUUCUCUAAACAACAACACGUUUUCUAGGAUGACCUUAAAUUUUUGUAUGGUAAAAUUAAAUCAAGAGAUGGCGGAGCAGUCAGGGGUUGAUCGUUAAUUUAAAGAAGUACAAGUUUCUCUCUAUAUUCCUUCCUUGGUAUAACAUUCCAUUGUGACGUCACUAUUAAGCCAUUUGCCUGAGUGAGCCGUGAGGGAAGGACCCGUCGUGACUGGCUGUUACGUGGUGGUUAAAUUUUUAGUAUUUUUAUAUUAAGUUACUUAAACACAAGCUUAUGUCGCUCCUGUACUGUAUGUAUCAACUUCAUGUGAAUCACCAGACAACAGCAGACAACAGAGAGCAGCUGUGACCCUUGUACUGCUGUCACAAUCACCGCUCAGCGUCCUGAAGAGAAUGUGGUGCUGGGAGACCCAACAAGAACCUUCUUGCACGCUACAGUGGUACUGGCCUUGAAUUUAAAAUAUUUGUGUGGCUGACUGGACCCACAACGAGGUGUUGCCUGGAGAUUGUGUGGCUGUCUCGGGUGGACUGCUGGCUGGCUUACGUGGACGGCAGGCUGGCUCGCUCAGGUGGACGGCAGGCUGGCUGGCUCACUCGCGUGGACGGCCGACUGGCUGGCUCGCUCGCUCAGGUGGACGGCCGACUGGCUCUCUCAGGUGGACGGCCGACUGGCUCUCUCAGGUGAACGGCCGACUGACUGCUGGCUGGCUGAGGUGAACAUCUGGCAGGACAAGAACCCCACCAAACAGAUUUGUGUGGACCCACAACAAGGUGCUUCCUGGAGGUGGUAAAGGCAAAACGAACUUUCAUUCAACAAUUGGUGUGCUGUGUCCAGAUUGUCAACAAUCCCCACAGCCAGCAACACCUCCUCCUCUGCCGCUGCCUGGCGGCCCUCCCUCCUCCGC